AGGGGGUGGAGGUGGGGGAGGUGGGGGAGGUGGGGGGAAGCGAAGCCCUAAGAUGGGCGGAGAGAAGCAGAUGUGGAGGUGAUGGCGAAGACCCAGAUAUAAGCAGGGUUGGCCUGUCCAAGUUCAACAGUGGGCUUCCACACCCUCCCACUUCCAGCUGGACUGGCCAAGGGACCCCGCUAAAACAGCAUCCUACACAAAAUAGAACAUAGCAGGCCGGGCGCAGUGGCUCACGCCUGUCAUCCCAGCACUUUGGGAGGCCGAGGAGGGCGGAUCACCUGAGGUCACGAGUUCGAGACUAGCCUGGUCAACAUCAUGAAAUCCUGUCUGUACUAAAAAUACAAAAUUUAGCCGGGCAUGGUGGCGGGUGCCUAUAAUUCCAGCUACUUGGGAGGCUGAGGCAGGAGAACUGCUUGAACACAGGAGGUGGAGGUUGCGGUGAGCCAAGAUCGUGCCACUUCACUCCAGCCUGGGUGACAGAGUGAGACUCCAUCUCAGAAAAAAAAAAAAAAAAAGAAGAAGAACAUAGCACAUAGUGACAUUAGGUAAAAAGGGCUGGAUCAGUAAACUUGAGUUGAAUGGCUAAUAAAUGUUGGUUGAAUAAUCGUACAUAGAUUGGACCACAAGAAACUUAGUACCAAAACCUAAUAUUUAUAUUGUUCUGUAACCAUAAGAAAAAUUAAAUCAUGAUCUAGGGCUUAAAAAAAAAAAAAAACAGAGAGAGAGAGGGAGAAAAAGAGAAAGAAAAAAAUAGAAACAGUACCAGGAACCAGGAGGAAAUGGGGAAUUUUUAGUGAGGAGGAUGUAGAGAAGAGUCCUACCACGCAGUUUUCCCUGUGCAAUGCCUCAUUAAAAGCAGAAAACGCACAUCUCAUUAGUCCCAAGUUACAGAUGAGGAUACCGAGGCUCCGAGGGGCUAAGUAGCUUGGUCAGGGCCUUAGGGCCGCCUCACCCCAGCCCAGCUGUGUUCCUCGUGGUCCCAGGAAGCCAGCAGGCACGGAAAGACUGGCCUUCUGGACCACAGAGGACACCCAGCAGAGCAGGUGCUGUGUUAGGAAAAUAAAUAACCUCUCGCUUGGAAAAGUUUAGGUUGUACUUGGCAGAUUUGUUUGGAACAAAAUUUGCACUAUCGACUCCGUGGCAAAUGGAAACCUCUCGUGGACACUCUCUGGGCUUCAGAGAUCUGAAAUGUUUAAAUGAGGCCGGACCAAACAGGAUGAGACAAAAUUGCCAGAGGAAGCUGAGCUCAGGUGGUGCCUGGGGUGAGAAGACUCUGCCUCUUUUGUCUUCGCUCCCAUCUGUGAAAUUGACUCGUUACUUUGAACUGCUUCCUCUCCUCCCAGGGAAGGCUCCAGGGGUGUUGCUCAGGCCUGCAGUUUAAAAAGAAUCUCCCAAAGCGAGCGAGGGGCCAAGGGAAAGAGGCUCAGGAACUUCUUGGGCUAUGCUCAAGAGAAUGCACCAGCCAAAGGGGACAGUUUAUCACUCACACGUGACUCGUGGGGUGGCAAUUAGCCCCGGGGCUGCCUUGAGAUUGUAGCGAUGAUCAUCUUACCGUAAUUGGCCCACUGCCCCGAUGGGCUGGUAUUUCUGCCUCCAUGGCCAAUUCUGAUUGCAGCGAUUUAUGGGAGCUCAUUGGAAAUGGGGGAUUAUUGCAAGGGGAUGAGUGACCUGGACUCCCAAAGCCUCCAGGCAAGGGAGUAGCUCCAGAAUGUACAGCCCUCCGUGGACCCUCUCCCGGCCUGUCUGCCCUGGCCUCGCCCUCCACCCAGCCAGCUCCUCCUUUUGCCCCACAUCCAAAGCCAUGGACCCACCCCUUGCUCUCCAGCACGGCCUUUCACCUUCCCCUCCCACAGCUAAGUGCCUCCAAUUCCUAGCUUUCCCAGCUUUAUUUCCCAGAAGGAAGAGCCCAGUGGAGCCAGCCAUGUCAUGACUCCUGUCGGACCAUGUUACAGACCAUGAUCACCGACCAGUUCUCUAUCCAUGGAUGAGCAGCCACCUUUUACCUUGUCAGCCAGGAGGGGUAUAGAGGGCUCUCUCCAUUUGACAAACGUUUAUUUUUAUUUCAUUUUAUUUUAUUUUUUUGAGACGGAGUUUCACUCUUGUUGCCCAGGCCGGAGUGCAAUGGCACGAUCUCGGCUCACAGCAACCUCCGCCUCCCGGGUUCAAGCCAUUCUCCUGCCUCAGCCUCCCGAGUAGCU